GGGGCGCAGGAGGCGUGCUGGCCGCCAGCACCCUGGACAGCCGGCCGUCUCGUUUCUUUCCGGCCCGGGGGGUUUGUCAGGGUGCGGGAUUUUCCGCGCCAACAUCGCAACAGCCUGCAGCAAACUGGGAAGCGGUCAUCCUCGCAGAUGGAUGGACAGACAGAUGGCUGGAGGAGCGGCCGUGGACGGCAUUUAGUAUCCUCCUAUGGCACUGCCUGCUUCCUUCACCAGAACAAGCACUCUGUCAGAUGGGACUCUCACAGAUGUAUCCUCAGGACCUCAACACCAAGCAAGCUCCAGAAGUAUGAAGAUAGCCCUGCAGUGGGUGGAAGGAAACCCAGGGGAAAGCUGCUUCUCAUAAAACAGAAA